rnacentral:rRNA from 1 species
CCCUUAGAUGUCCGGGGCUGCACGCGCGCUACACUGAAGGAAUCAGCGUGCUAAAACCAUUGUCGAAAGGCAUUGGUAAACCCAUUAAAAUCCUACGUGAUUGGGAUCGGGAAUUGCAAUUAUUUCCCUUGAACGAGGAAUUCCCAGUAAGUGUGGGUCAUAAGCUCGCGUUGAUUACGUCCCUGCCCUUUGUACACACCGCCCGUCGCUGCCCGGAACUGAGCCGUUUCGAGAAAAGCGGGGACUGCUGCUGUCGGGGCUUUCGGGCCUUGGCUUCGGUGGAAACCGCUUUAAUCGCAGUGGCUUGAACCGGGCAAAAGUCGUAACA